rnacentral:lncRNA from 1 species
GAAAAGCAUUCUGCCUUCUGGGUUACCUUCUGUAGUAGGAAACAAGCAAGAAAAAGAUUAAGGAGGAAAAAAAUAUUCUUCUUUCUAUUUAAUUAAAUGAACUUUGCUGUUGCUACUGUUUUCUGUUUUAUCACAAAGGCAUUUGGAAACUCUGCUUUUAAAGGAAUCCUAUAGAAAGGCUGCCAGCAGAAUUUGUAUUUCCAAGCCAAACUUCUCUGAGGAAACUGAGCAGCAGUGUGGGCUUCUGCAGCACCUGGGGCUGUCCUGCAUGUGCUGGAGCCUUACAGGUAAAACUUCAGCGGCCAAAGCCGGGAUUGUAACUCGCAGCAGCUCAGAACCCCGCGGCGCGGCAGAGCCUCUCAGCUCCGCGCCCUGCGGCUGCUGCGCGGCACAGCCCGGCUGCGCUGUGGGAGUUGG